rnacentral:rRNA from 1 species
CACGUAGGGGGCAAGCGUUGUCCGGAUUUAUUGGGCGUAAAGAGCUCGUAGGUGGCUUAGUAAGUCGGGUGUGAAACCUCCAGGCUCAACCUGGAGACGCCACCCGAUACUGCUAUAGCUUGAGUCCGGUAGGGGAGCGUGGAAUUCCUGGUGUAGCGGUGAAAUGCGCAGAUAUCAGGAGGAACACCAGCGGCGAAGGCGGCGCUCUGGGCCGGUACUGACACUGAGGAGCGAAAGCGUGGGGAGCAAACGGG